GAUGAACGCUGGCGGCGUGCCUAAUACAUGCAAGUCGAGCGAACAGACGAGGAGCUUGCUCCUCUGACGUUAGCGGCGGACGGGUGAGUAACACGUGGAUAACCUACCUAUAAGACUGGGAUAACUUCGGGAAACCGGAGCUAAUACCGGAUAAUAUAUUUAACCGCAUGGUUCAAUAGUGAAAGACGGUUUUGCUGUCACUUAUAGAUGGAUCCGCGCCGCAUUAGCUAGUUGGUAAGGUAACGGCUUACCAAGGCAACGAUGCGUAGCCGACCUGAGAGGGUGAUCGGCCACACGGGAACUGAGACACGGUCCAGGCGCCUACGGGAGGCAGCAGUAGGCAAUCUUCCGCAAUGGGCGAAAGCCUGACGGAGCAACGCCGCGUGAGUGAUGAAGGUCUUCGGAGCGUAAAACUCUGUUAUUAGGUAAGAACAAAUGUGUAAGUAACUAUGCACGUCUUGACGGUACCUAAUCAGAAAGCCACGGCUAACUACGUG
rnacentral:rRNA from 1 species